CCUCUCACAUCCCUCUGUUUUUCUGAAAGACAUACACUGAAACCGUUUUUCAACAACAGGUGUGGCCAGAGCUGUUUGAGAGUUUGGUGGGACAGCAUUUGGAGAGGUGGGAGGGGAAGAACAUGGAGGCAGUCAUAAAUAGGUGGAAUUUUUGCUUUAUUCCUAUAAUUUGUGAGCGUUCCCGUAGGAGAAGGUAGUGUAUACCUAAUAUAAGUAUUAACCAAGAAAGUUCACAACUGGAGCAAGGAAAAAGAAUGCGCUAGCAAGGAUGUUAGAACUUGAUAUCCUGGCUUACCAAUGGGUUCCUUUAAACUCUUCUACUGCCUCAGGAUGGCUAACACAUAUCUACGCAUUGCAGCCAGCAGUAUUUUGCUGUGUGAUACAAAGACAUGUUCUGUAACAAGAUGAAUCUUAAAUGGUGGGAUGGAGAGGCUUGGUGUGUGAAGUAACUAAUGAAUUGCAGAACCCGUGGCUUGAUGGCCAUUGGUUCAAAUCUCACCCCCUUGGUAACAGCCAAACUCCCUGAGACAGACUUUCCCCUGUUCUUAGGCAUCCUUCGCAGUCAGCCAUGGCCUUCUAUCCACUUCCACAACACCCAGUACAAAUAACACCUCUCUGUCUGGAAGCUUGCCGGAGAUGGAUUGGUGCUAUGCUAACAGCAGCAAAUUUCUCAGCACUGACAACGUGCACCGAUGCUGAUAAAUGGGAGCAGCACUGUGUAGUGAAGGAUUCCCCAUGGGCAUUUCCCUUCACUCAUCCAUUCAUAAAGGGCCAGACGUGACACAUCUACUCUUGAGGACUGCCUUGCUUGUAAGUUUGUUGAAAAUAUUUGAGAGCAUACCUUUAAUCGCUGACAGCAGCCAGGUGCUGGGAAGGCUUUUGUUUAUUUCCAUUCUGUAAGAGGGGAUAUUUGUUAUUGUUUUCUGUGAAGAAAAUGUAUUUUCAGAAAGUAUUCUGACCACUCCAACAGUAUCUUUAUAGGACAGCCAAAGGCAGUGGACUGUUUGCAGGUUCAGCAGGUGAAAUCAAUUUCACAAGCAACAGAAUCAGAGUCAUAUUUCCAUGACUGCUCACAGGAUUCCUGGAGGUGCUGUACGUGGAUGCUGAUGGCUUCUGCAGCCUCUACGAGGUAAGUGUCUCACAUGCAGCUCUGCAAACAUAAUGUGACCCCAGCACACUGGGUUUAAUGUGACUGUCUUAUUGCACACACAGGCUGAGAUUCUGGGUGAGCUAUGUGCCUGAGAAACACAGGUGCUCUGGGACUGCACAAAAGCCUGGUAAGCUUAGUGUUGGAUUUAAGAGCAAAGGAGAGAUUCAUGUGCACGUACUUCAUAGCUAUUUACUGCAUGCUCAGCUGUCCAGGCUGCUGAAGUCCAGAAAAAUUGUUGCUGCUAUCAAAACACAGGAAAAGCCAAGAAUUUCAUGAGAUGAGAUCCAAUCGUACAUAUAUAGGAAAUCCUUAUUAUAUGGCACAAUUCUCAAACUUCACACUGCUCUUGGCAGUAUUUUCACACAGGAGUUAAGAACUUGAGUAACACUAGAUAGCUGAAAAAGUCAAGAGAGGAAAAUAGUAACUGCAUGGUCUCACCUUCACCCUGGCCACAAUUUUUGCUUUGCUUGCUUGCUCCUUGGUUGCAUGAGAAUUGCUUCUUGUCACCACUAAAUGAAAAUGGACUGGAUGGAGGAAGUUGUUUAGCAGAGAAGAGAUCCGGGAGAAGGCAUAAAGAAAGGUGGUGAGAGUACCUUGUUAGCAGCUAGCAUUUGUGAUCAAGCAGCCAAAGAUAUUUUCAGCUCAGUGCGGGAGAGGCCGCAGCUGUGCAAUGUGUGGAAUGUGACCUGUUGGGAAGGUGUGGACAGAGAAGCAGAUCAGGGUGGAAAGGGGGAAAGGGAGCAGGUGGCAGAGCAGAACUGGAUUUUUCUUCAUCCUCUGAAGGAGCUGUUGCCAAGGACAAAGCCAUAAGCAACCAGAUUUAAAAAAAAAAUUACUCUUCUCUGAGUGUUUCCUGGUUGAUAACCUCAUUGUUUAACAUCAGGGUGAUGGAGAACUUUAGAGAUGAUGAUCCAGGCCUGGACACAGGCUGACACACACUCUUGGUGUGUAUGACAAUCUAUGUCCCUAGAGGAAACUGCAGGAUUCUGUGUUAGAGUAUGUGGAGUUUCCUUUCACUUAGUACCAACCUUCCUAUGAUUUAGCUGUGUUUCUUGCUGUAUCAGACCAAAACAUAAAGUCAAACUGUACAUUAUAUCAAUCAGCUGGUCCAUGAAUGAGGUGAAAAUUCCUCAGGUUGUCACAGAACUAUAUUUUGGUUAACAGCUAUCCUAGGUAGCAUGUCUCCCUUCUUGUUGAUAUAUGCUUGCACAGUUGCCCAGCAGGAUGAUGACAAUGCUGAUCCUGACGAAAACACUCCAUGCAGAUGCGAUAUAAAAACUUUGUCAAGAUAAGUGUUGAGAAGUUCCUUAUUUGCUCUGGAAUCUGGACUGCAUCAAACAUAUGAGUCAAAAGUAUCUGCAGUGACUCAGAGCCCAAGAACUGUGACAGAAGAUGAAAUUCAUUCCUAUUUGCACCAUUCAUUUUUGUGAUAAAUGGCAAGUGUUUUGAACAUCUCCUCCAGGAUUUAGCGGGAUUUUUUCCUACCCAGAUCUCUUAUUCAUGAAGGACUGAUUUGUGAUAUUAUAUAACAAAUGAGUGACAUAUACACCUCAACACUGAAUGGAUCCACUGUUAUGGCCCUCGUACACAUGUGCAAUAUCUCAUCUGAAGCCACAUAAACUCCCGAGUUUUUGGCUUAGGACAGUAAUAACUACUUCUGUGAUUAAGACAGUCUGCAGUAUCUAUUGCAUAUAGAUUCUUCAUUGCUUUCAAAUGCCUCCCAAAAAACCAUAAAAGCUGUUUUUGUUCCACCCUUGGUUAUUAAGAUAGUUCUACCCACUAUUAGGUGUGCUUCUAGUCAUCUUGAUCAAAAUUCCUAAGCCAGUUUCCAUAAUUUGCCCCACGUAAGUGGGAAACUGAGGUUCUGGAUGUGGGUAUGCUCCAUGGCACCACAUGGUGAAUCUGCAGUGGAAUUCACUGCUCAGCAACAAAGGCUAAUCAAAAGCAUUUUCCUAAGUGCAUCAAUCAGUUUCAUUGGAUCCUAUUAAAUACUAGACCAAAAAUAAAAGCUUUGGUCUAUAGCUUCA
rnacentral:lncRNA from 1 species